UCUUCUCCAGCUUAACAAACAGCUCCAUGAAAUGCAAGAAAAGAAGAGUUGUGACCUACAGAUUUGGCAAACUUAGCUGUUGCUAUUUCAGAAGAUAAAAGUGUGCAUCCAUAAGGACAAGACCUGCAAAUGGAGAGAGCGUCUCUGAGCACACUCCCUUAAUGCUGAUUUCUGCACUGGUACCAAAGCUGCAGUAAACCUGAGAGGUGAACCUGUCCUCCAUUGGAGCCUGUGGGAUUUUGCCCACUGCAAUGAAAACAAUUGAAAAGGGCACUGUAAGGAACACUAUGCUGUAAAAAUCAUAUGCUUGCUGUUCUCAGUUUUGUACCUCUCACUGGUGAUUAAAAUGAAAGACUACAAAGACUCACAUCCUGUCUUUCAUUAAGUGUUCCACUGGCUUGCUGAGCAUUGCAGAAGAGGUACAGCAUUGCCUCAGUACUGUGCCAAGUUUUUCCUCUUUGAAGAUAUCAUUAAAAACACCUCAAAGUUCCUCUGCCUCACACAAUGUUGUUUUCAGGAAUUGCUUGAGGUAAGCAGAAAUGUAACUUGGUGUUAUAAGGUGAGUCAUUAGGAAAUGAGAAAAGAGAUGAAUUAAUGUGCUGUCCAUGAAAUUAGCAUUCUGAUAAUUGUUUGGUUUGUAAUUAUAUUGGGUUUAAUCUAACAAUAAUACUAAGAAAUUGCGGGUUUUAAAACCAUCCUUUGUUUGGGGGAAAAUUUUAAUUUCUUUAAAACAAUUCAUUUGCAUCUAUGCUUUUUUAAGUUUCUUUUUUUUUUUUU
rnacentral:lncRNA from 1 species